UGAAUACGAGACGCUAAGGCGUCGAAGUAGUGUAUGUCAUACUUCCAAGAAAAGCUUGCACUGUCAUAGAUAAAAAACGCCUGUACCAUAACCGACACAGGUGGGUAGGUAGAGUAUACUAAGGGCGCGAGAUAACUCUCUCUAAGGAACUCGGCAAAAUAACUCCGUAACUUCGGGAGAAGGAGUGCCUUAUUCGUAAGGUUGCAAUAACAAGAUCCAAGCAACUGUUUAUCAAAAACACAGGUCUCCGCUAAGUCGUAAGACGAUGUAUGGGGGCUGACGCCUGCCCAGUGCCAGAAGGUUAAAGAAGUUGGUUAGCAAUUGCGAAGCUGAUAACUGAAGCCCUGGUGAACGGCGGCCGUAACAAUAACGGUCCUAAGGUAGCGAAAUUCCUUGUCGGGUAAGUUCCGACCCGCACGAAAGGCGUAAUGAUUUGGAUACUGUCUCGGAGAGGGGCUCGGUGAAAUAGACUUGUCUGUGAAGAUGCGGACUACCUGCACCAGGACAGAAAGACCCUAUGAAGCUUUACUGUAACUUGAAAUUGAAAUUGGACUUUAUUCGCGCAGUAUAGGUGGGAGGCGUUGAUUAUAAUCUUGUGGGAUUAUUGGAGCCAUCAGUGAGAUACCACUCUUGUAAUGUUAGAUUUCUAACUUUGAAUCAUUAUCUGGUCAAAGAACAGUUUCAGGCGGGCAGUUUGACUGGGGCGGUCGCCUCCUAAACGGUAACGGAGGCGUACAAAGGUUUCCUCUGAACGGUUAGAAAUCGUAUCUAGAGUGUAAAGGCAUAAGGAAGCUUGACUGUGAGACCUACAAGUCGAGCAGGGACGAAAGUCGGUCUUAGUGAUCUGACGGUACUGAGUGGAAAGGCCGUCACUCAACGGAUAAAAGUUACUCUAAGGAUAACAGGCUGAUCUCCCCCAAGAGUUCACAUCGACGGGGAGGUUUGGCACCUCGAUGUCGGCUCAUCGCAUCCUGGGGCGGUAGUACGUCCCAAGGGUUGGGCUGUUCGCCCAUGAAAGCGGUACGCGAGCUGGGUUCAGAACGUCGUGAGACAGUUCGGUCCAUAUCCGGUGUAGGCGUUAGAAUAUUGAGAGGAGCCUUCUUUAGUACGAGAGGACCGAGAAGGACAUACCUCUGGUGUACCAGUUAUCGUGCCAACGGUAAACGCUGGGUAGCUAUGUAUGGAGUGGAUAACCGCUGAAAGCAUCUAAGUGGGAAGCCCACCUCAAGAUAAGUAUUCUCAC
rnacentral:rRNA from 1 species